rnacentral:lncRNA from 1 species
AAUGCAGAGGUGGGGGACAGAGUGGGUGGGGAGGGGAGCCGCCAUACAGUGGCCAGGACCAGCUUUGCCCAAGUGGUGGCAACCGCAUGACCACAGGAACGAUGGCGUGAGCCCCGUGGCAACCUGGAGGAAGGGCCAAGCCACUGGUGAAUAUGCUGCAAAAAAUAUGCUGGAACUUCUAUGAAUACCACAGGGUGUGAGAAGAAAACAUUAGAACUUCUAUUUUGUACCUGUGUUACUCCACAACAAGAAAGCAAUCAGCUUGAUCAAUGCCUACUGUAAAGACGGCACCGCCCUCCGGAGGUCCUUUCUCAGCCCUGGUGUUCGGACAGCCACAUCCCCUCGCAGCAGGGGGAGGCCUGAAGCAUAGAGGGGCCCAUGCAGGUCUAUUCUGUUUCAGCGAAUUGCCUGGGAAAUAAUCCAGGAUCCAUUUCGUGUGGUCAUCUUGUCUCCCUGGUCCCCUCCAGCCUUUCCUCAUCUUUUGUGACCUGGUCACUCUGGAAGGGCGCUGGCCAGUUAGUCCACAGGAUGGGCCUCCCCUGGGGCUUUUCUGAUGCUUCCUUAUGAUGGCACUGGCAUCCUGAGGGGGAGGACCACAGAGAGGAGGUGCUCCUCAUCACACCACAUGGGGGUCCAUGCACCAGUGCCACUGCUUUCCAGGGCUCUUCACCUUCAUCACUGGUGGAGGUGGCGUCUGCCAAGAAGCAGAAAGUUGAGGCUUAGAAGGUGCACGGCCCUACCUCUUCCGAGGUGCCCCUGCGGGCUGUCUACAGACCAGGCAGCACAUGCCUGAUAGCAGCUGCAUAAGGAAAAGCAGGAGCCAGCUCGUGCACAGUGGCCUCAAGUGUGCACUGGGCAUGUUCUCUGCCUCACCAUCCCUGUGUGACAGAUGAAGCAUGACAGCCCUCAACAGAAGCCAAGGCCAAGUCCUCGAACUUCCUAGUCUGCACAAUGA